rnacentral:lncRNA from 1 species
ACCACUAUUGUGUGAUUGAGUUCUCAAAUUUUAGAGAACAUGCUUAUGUACCUUGGUGUCCAUCAACCUUUAUUGCUUGUUGAUCCAGAGCGUUAAUCGCGUAAAUGCUUAGUGUCCACCAUCCCUUGUAUUGAUGGUUAUCUUGGCCUAUUAAAGCUAGUGUUAAGUCAUAUUACUUUGAAUUUGGAUGUUACAAGUGUUUGUGUCCACCAUAUUUGGAUGUUACUAGUGUUUGUGUCCACCAUCACUUGUAUUGAUGGUUAUUUUGGCCUGUUAAAGCUACUGUUAAGUCAUAUUACUUUGAAUUUGGAUGUUACAUGUGU